rnacentral:rRNA from 1 species
GAAAGAUUCAUCGGAAGAGGAUGGGCAUGCGGCGCAUUAGCUAGACGGCGGGGUAUCGGCCCACCGUGGCGACGAUGCGUAGGGGUUCUGAGAGGAAGGUCCCCCACACUGGUACUGAGACACGGACCAGACUCCUACGGGAGGCAGCAGUGAGGAAUAUUGGUCAAUGGGAGAGAUCCUGAACCAGCCAAGCCGCGUGAGGGAAGACGCCCCUAUGGGUUGUAAACCUCUUUUGUCGGAGAACAAAACCCGGGACGAGUCCCGGACUGCGUGUAUCCGAAGAAAAAGCAUCGGCUAACUCCGUGCCAGCAGCCGCGGUAAUACGGAGGAUGCGAGCGUUAUCCGGAUUUAUUGGGUUUAAAGGGUGCGUAGGCGGUCCGUUAAGUCAGCGGUAAAAUUGCGGGGCUCAACCCCGUCGAGCCGUUGAAACUGGCAGACUUGAGUUGGCGAGAAGUACGCGGAAUGCGCGGUGUAGCGGUGAAAUGCAUAGAUAUCGCGCAGAACUCCGAUUGCGAAGGCAGCGUACCGGCGCCACACUGACGCUGAGGCACGAAAGCGUGGGGAUCGAACAGGAUUAGAUACCCUGGUAGUCCACGCAGUAAACGAUGAAUGCUGGUUGUCCGGGUCGAAUGAGAUCUGGGCGGCGA